rnacentral:rRNA from 1 species
GCGCGAAAACUGCACAAUGUGGGAAACCACGAUGCGGGAAGCCCAAGUGCCAGCACUAUGUGUUGGCUGUCCUCAAGUGUUCGUAACUUGGGAAGAAAGUGCUGGGUAAGACGGGUGCCAGCCGCCGCGGUAAUACCCGCAGCACAAGUGGUGGUCAUUAUUAUUGGGCCUAAAGCGUCCGUAGCUGGCCUGUUAGAUGCCUGGGUAAAUCGAUGCGCUCAACGCAUCGAACUCCGGGUAGACCGGCAGGCUCGAGACCGGGAGAGGCGUGGGGUACUCGGGGGGUAGGGGUAAAAUCCUGUAAUCCUUCGGGGACGACCAGUGGCGAAGGCGCCACGCUAGAACGGCUCUGACAGUGAGGGACGAAGCCCUGGGGCGCAAACCGG